GUCACGCCUAACUAUGCGAACUAGGUGUUGGGAAGGAGACUUCUUAGUACCGCAGCUAACGCGUGAAGUUCGCCGCCUGGGAGGUACGGUCGCAAGAUUAAAACUUACAAGGAAUUGACGGGACCCGCACAAGCGGUGGAUUAUGUGGAUUAAUUCGAUGCAACGCGAAACCUUACCUACCCUUGACAUGUCAGGAAGUCUGCUGAGAGGUGGAUGUGCCCGAAAGGGAACCUGAACACAGGUGCUGCAUGGCUGUCGU
rnacentral:rRNA from 1 species